UGAAGGUGGCCAUGAACUCGGCAAUCCCAGCUCUCCAAAACGACCAUGAAUGAAGCUCACCAGGGUCAAACAGUGGAGCUGGUGGAGGCUCCCUAUAGUCCUUGUCUGUCUGUGCUGAUGUCCCUAUCGGUUGCCUCUCUGCAAACUUGUUGGCCCCCAACCUCACAUCCUCUUCCUUCCCCUCCAUUUUUCUGAGCUCAGUGAUGAAGAUGAUGAACUUCCUGAGCAAAUUGCAGUUGGGUUUGGAGUGAUUUAUAGAGGAAGCAAAGUAAGAGAAAAUAAUAGAAAACAAAUUGUCAAAUGGGGUCCUUCGGAGAAACGUUUGGUUCCGUUCCCAUGUGAAAUGACUAUAUUGCCCUUCUAAUUCACUUUUUAUCUCACUCGUACUAUUAGUAUUAGAUCAUUUUAAUUAAAAGAUAUUUGCUUAAAAGGGGCAGCCUUGCCUUUGCCCUGACUCUAAACAUAAGGAAAUUCCCAGAUUUUCACUCAAGCUCCUAAAUCAUUGAAGCUUUAAGCCGGGAAUUCUUUCAUAGGCUACGGGAAGAACUACAUCUCGUAAGUCAGUGGGGCGGAGGAAAAGAACGUUGGAUUGGGGAAGUAACGAGAAGGAAGAGUCUAUAAAAGAGAGAGUAUGAGUGCACCCAAAGCAAGAGGGGAAAAAGAUAACCUUUGUCUUUUCAAAACAAAAAUGAUUCUUUUUAAGCUAAAUUCCUCACGAUAAAAGAAUUCUCAAACUGUUUGUUUUUCGAAUUUUCAUCAGAAAGUUCAUACAUUUAAUAAAGUAAGUUUUUUUUUUUUAGCUUUUAUGAGAAAAUGCAGAAAAAGAUGAGUGGUUAAUACCUUAACAUUUUAUUAACCAUAAAUUUAAGGGUUGUUGAAUUUUCAUCGGACCUUGUUUGCAUAUAAAAUUUGGGUUGUCUUGUUGAAAUCGAUAAUACUUGUUUUUUGUUUACUUAUUUUUAAAAUAUUGUUUUUAUCAACUCAACCAAAGAGCAUAUAAUUGUCUUGUUGAAAUCGACAUUGCUUAUUUUUUGUUUUAUUUAUUCUAAAAAUAUUGCUUUUAUCUAUUCAACCAAACAUAUCUUUUUUGUUUUUAGGACAAAAAUUGCUAUUUAGAAUUCAAUUCCCAAAUGCAUUUUUUUUCUUCUAAAAACACCAAAAACUGAUUUUAAAAACUUUUUUCAAUUGGGAUUGUUUUCAAAAACAUUUCCCAAACAAGCCAUAAAAUUAGAAUUGUUUUCUUUUGAAAAUCAAGAAAAAUAAAUAAAUAAUAUAAAAGUAGACUUUCUAUAGAAUAAAAAAUAAAUCUAUCUAAAAGGUACGUUCAAAUGCCAAUUUCAAACAACCAAAAAAAAAAGGGUAAAGUUUUCCUUUCUUAUUGUUGGACUAAAACAACUAUACAUGCCUAAUUUUAUAAAAUAUUAAAAUUAUAAACUAUUUAAAAAUUAUAAAUUCAGUAAAAUUCUUAUUUAGGUUAUAAAAAAGUUAUUUAUCAUCUUAAAAAUCAAUUCAAAUAGCAUUUAAAAAAUAACCAAGAAAAAUAAUUGAAUUUUUUUUUUAAAAAAAUUAGGAUUUAUUAGUCAUAGUCUCUUGACACAAGUCUUCCUCUAUACUUUAAUAUUAUGUAUUUAUGUAUAAUAAUGGAGUUUUAUUCUUCAAAUUUUUAAUUAUUUCAAUAUAAUAUUUAAAAAAUAUGUUAAAAUACUUUAAAUUAAAAAAAAAAACCAUUUCAAUUAAUUUUUUUAGACAUGCUUUUAGAAUUAGAAAACCUAUCAUCGUUCCAAAGAACAGCAUCCAAACAUGUCCUAGGCUCCUAGCAUUAGUUUUUUGAAAUUUGGAAAGAAAAAAACAAAAGGAUAUUUAAUGCGCAAUAAAUUAAAGAAUGGUCGUCGAUAAGAAACUAAUGCGAGGGAUGCGUCGCAAAUGGCAGGCCAAUAAAUUCCACACCUAAUAUUGUACAAACAGCGCGUUAUCACCGGGCAUUCCAGUGUGUGGCACCCCCACCAAAGUUGGACGUGAAUGAGAUAAGAAUCAUCAGAUGUCAUGAUCUUCAUCUUGCGAUUAGUCAUCGCAUUUGUAGCUCUGAUUUGGUAGGCCAUGGGUUUGCCAUACACAUUACACACUAUCGUAUUGUACUAUAUUCAUUGAAGAAGACUGAGCUGUAAUGUUUGGUGGGCCCACAGCAUGUUCUGGAUCGCAUUUUCAAUGCUUGUCCCAAAACUCGAAGACUUUAAUAUGAUUUCCAAAUUGGAGUAAAACGACUGUGUUUUGAUUCCUUUGCUCACAACCCAAAAUGAAUUCUUUGGUAGCGAGGUUGGAGCCCAAAGCUCAUUAUUAUUAAAAAGUAUUUUUGAAAAAAAAAAUAUUUGAUAAAAUUUGUGAAAUAUUUUUAAUUUUUUUAAAAUUAAUUAUACUAUUAAAAAAUCAUUUAUAGUGUGUUUUGAAAAACACGAAAAUUUUCCUAAAAAUAUUUUUAGAUAAAAUACUUUUAUUAAAAACAUUUAAAGUCAAACACAAUCUUAAAUGGAGUUAUAAGUUAUUUUUAAAUUUUAAUGGAAUUUUCUAAAAGUAUUUGAGUAAUUUUGUCCAAAUAGCUUCUUAGUUAUAAAAAAAAAAGAAAAAAAAAUCUUUAAAUGAUGUAGGGAAUGUUUGAUAAAAUUUAAUAUUUAUUAUUUAAUGACUUAAAUUGACUUUAAGUUAAAUUAUAUUUAAAUUAUUGAUUUUAAAAUUAUUAAUUAAUUAUUUAAUAAAAUAAAUUUAAAAUUUAUUUUAAAUUAUAAAAUUUUAUAUUUAUCCUCAUAAAUUACACUUAAUUAAAAAAAGUUAAAUAACGAUAAAAGUCAUAAAUAAUAAAAAUGAUCAUGAAUAACAAAUAAGUUAAUUAUUUUACUUAUUAUUUAAAGUUAUUUUUUACUUUAAAUUAUACCAUUAAAUUAUUUUACUAAACAUACUUAAUUUACUUAAUAAUUUAAAUUAAAUUAUUAAAUUGAUUUUUCAAACAAUACCGCCUAAUUUAAUUAAAAAACCAUAUUUUUUAAAUAUUAAUAUAUUAACAUAGUAUAAGCUUUAUUAAAAUAAAAUAACAACUUAUAUAAGUCAAAUUUUAACUUAUACAAAUCAAAGAUUUGUUUGACAAAACUAGUUAGACACGUAUUAAAAAUUCAUACUAAACUUAAAAAAUAAUUUACAAAUUAGUAUGGAAAUUAGAAUAAUAUGAUUUUUAGUACAAAUUAUUUUUUAACUUGUAUGAAGAGCUAUUUUAUAUUUAAAUAAUUGAACAUUCUCUAAUUGAAGCAAUAAAAAUAAAUAAAUAAAUAAUAAUAAAUAAUAAAUCAUUUAUAAAAAAGAAAAAGAAAAAUAUUUUUAUCAAAUAUUGAUUAUUUUUUAAAUUAAAAAUUGUGGUCAAUUAAGGCCCUGCAAAUGAUCCAAAUCACCAUUAAAAUCAAUCUGCGAGAGAAGAAGAAGACAUUAAAGAUGGAAGCUUCCUUUUCAUUCAAAAGCUGCCCAUUGUAAUAGAAGCAGCCCAGAUAACUUACACACAUAAUAACCAGCCCCACCUCUAUUCUGAGCUCAACCCAGAUUCAGGAGGAGGAAGAUGAACAAGAAGAAGAAGAUAGAAGCAGCAAAUAAAAGAAGAAACAGAAAAUGGAGGAAUUUCUCAGGCUCUGGUCUUGAAUGGGAUGGCUCUGAUUACUAUCUGGUGGUACAAGGCAGCAAGAGCAGCUCCAAUGAAGGGUCCAACCCAGAAAAUCCACUGAAGGGAACAACAAAAGAAUGAAAUCAAUACAAGGCAGAUUCACAGAUAAAUGAUGAGAUGAGAAGUGAUUGGGUCUGAUCAUGGAGCUUACCAUGUCAUCCCAGGCAUGCUCUCUGUUGUAGAUGAUGGCGGCCCCCAGACUCCUAGCAGGGUUGAUGCCGGUUCCGGUGAUGGGGAUGGUUGCCAGAUGAACCAAGAACACUGCAAACCCAAUGGGGAGAGGAGCCAAAAUCUGCAGUUCAACGCAGGAAAAAUAAAGGGCGUGUUAUUUUCAGAUCCCAUUUGCAAUAAUAAAUACCAUCAGGAAUGGUUGAAAAAUGAGAGGAAAAUGGGUAUCGAUGUUAAGGAAACAUAUUUUUAGUCAUUGAUCUCAAAAGGCAUUACAUGACUUUCCACCAGCUCCCAGACCCAGAAACCAUAUAGUUUUAUAGAAUUGUUUUUGAAAUAUGAAAAAUAGUUUUCUCCUAUUGCUGUCUGUGAAAGUAGUGUGCCCUACUGAUAUAUGAUGCUUUAGUUUCUAAAAUGUUUUCAGAACAAAUCAUGAAAAAACUGUUUCCUGUCAAAAACAUGUGUAGGAAGUAAAUUAGAAAACUAUUUUCCAUCAAAACCGUUUUGAAGAACAUGUAAACCAAACAAACCCAUGGUUCCCCACCACCAAACUUUUCAUAGAACAACCUCACUGUAGCGCCUCAAGACUGCCAUGUAAAGAUUUUGGGCUCAAAACAACUUAAAACUUCAUAUAAAUUGUUCAUCUUGUCGUGAGCUCACAUUGAAUAAUGCAUAUUGCCCUCACCAUACGAUCGAUCGUCAUGAAAAAACAUUUUAACCAAGCACAUGUUGGUACCAAAAUCAUGUGGCAAGUCCUCACUUUAAAUGUCAGGACUGAAAAGGCAACACACAAGCAUACUCAGAAAAUUUCUCACCUAGAAGUAAAAGUAAACCAAAAAAUGAUUUUAAACUUUCUGAUUUGUUGUAAAGUAUAAAAGAAAUCUUUAUCUAAAAGGUCUCAAGGUUAAUCUAAAUCUAAGAUGUCACCAACUAAUUUAUCAGUAGACAAGGGAAUUUCUCUUAAACAAAUCAGAUAGUCCAAAAUCAUUUUUCUAUAAACUUUUACUCUAAUAAACCCCAAAGAUAAAGUGAUGAAGUUCUCAAUCAAGAUGAUAUCCACACCUAGUCCAUUUUACAAAUUACAACUAGAGACAAGAAAAUAUUUGGCACCAAUUGUACUCAUGAUCCAAUGAUAAUAAAUUUCGAUUGAAUUCUACAUUUUGGUAGUUUCCAAAGAACAUAAAAAUUGGGCAUAAUUGUGCAAAAAAGUAACAAAAAAUCCUUCUGUCCGAGGCUCUUGAAAACAACAAACUUUGAUCUAAGUACAUGAUAGAUUAUGAAUGUUUUGAACCUUCGAACUAUAUUUUGGACAUGGUAUUUGGUGCAUGCACUGAACUAACCAUCAUUUUACGAUACUCAUUUAAAGCAGAACACAUUUCCAACAACACAACUUUUGCAAAUAUGAACAAAAAAGAGAUAAACCCCCACCCAUGCCACCAAGAUAAUUUAUUGUUGGAUCAAAGCAAGUGUUUCAAUAAGUGCACCUUUUACAAACUUUCUUAUUUUCUUAUUGUCGGAUCACUAGUGGAAUUUAAGCAUAUCCAACAAAGUUUGAAAAUGGUGCACUUGUUUAGACACAGAGCUUGAUAGAUAUAACAUUAUACUCAAUAGGGUGCAUUUCCACUUUAUCAGUAAGGUGCCUAACACCCAAAGGGUUAAUGGGGGAUUACUAUAUUUCAAUAAUCCAAACACAACAGUUUAUCAAUAUAAAUCAAGUCACACAAUUUAACAUAUAACAUUAUACUCAAUCCCACAACAUCCAAUCAUUAAAUGAAUGCAUAUGAAUGUGUGACACACAGUCAUAUAAUGUACUAUCGUUCUCAGGCUUUCACUGAAGGAUACGUGUCCGCACCCAAAUAUACUCCCCAUUCGGAGUCUUCUCGAGGUAAACUUUUGGGUCUUUCACCCUAGAGAUCUCUCUCCCUUCUUAAUUCGCCUCACACGGGCUUUCACUUUUCAUCCCUAUUUUAUUUUUUUCCAUUUCAUACACUUUUCACAAUUUUUUUUUUUUUUUCAUGCAACCAUGAUGCAAGUGAAUGCCACAAACUCCAAAAUUCCUCAAUAAUUUCUACAAUUCCAAUAAUUCCAACAUUCUCAAUAACCCAAUAAAAUAAAAUUUUCACAUUAAAAUUCCCGAAAAUACACCAACAAAUUUUCAGAAUUUUUCAAUAAUUUUAAUAAUUCCCAAUAUUUGAAAAUAAAUACCGCAAAUAUUCCAAUCAAUUUUCAAAAAUUUCAAAAAUUCAUAAAUCACUAGGAUUUGAAAUCUUGCCCUAAUUCCGGAAUUUUCCUAUAUUUCUAAUAAUUUUUAACAACCUAAAACGAUUAAUUAUCAAUUACAAAGAAUUCCAGAAAUUACAAAAAAAUCCCAAAUCAUUCCAGAAAAUUCACACAACAUCAAAAUUAUCUACUUAACUCAUAAUUAUCAGAUUUAUAAUUUUUUUCCAAUGAAAAUACAUUAAAUUUGAGUUUUAGGGUUAGUUUUCCCCUACCACAAAUCUGAGAAGUUGACCGUUUCCUCCGAAUUUGGGUUGAAACGGAGAUCGUUUGGCCGUCCAAACGGCCGGUCAAAGAUCCGACGAGUAACCAAAUUUAUGCACAGUGCCUCUCUCUCUCCCCGCGUGUUGCCAGUUUCUAAUUCUCCCCUCUUUCCUUUUUUUUUUUUUUUUACUAACCCUCCAGCCACACAAGCCUGGCCCAAAGUUCAAAAGCCCAACCCAUAUUUUUUUUUAAAAAAAAAAAAUUUCACCAGCCACUUAAGCCCAAAACCAAAAGCCCAAUUCCAUUUCAUUUCUUUUUAAUUGCCAUACUACCUUUACAUGGCCCAAGUUUAAAUAGCCUAUUGAAUAUUUUCAUUUCUUUUCUUUCAUUUUUACUUUUCUUUUGUUUAUUCUAUUUGUUUUAUUUGAUUUCCAAUUCUUUCUUUUUUUUAACACACAAAUUUAUUUAUUAACACCAAUCUAAAACUAUUAAUAAAUAAAUUUGUGUGUUAAAAAAAAAUGAAUUGGAAAUCAAAUAAAACAAAUAGAAUAAAUAAAAGAAACUAUUAAUAAAUAAAUUUGUGUGUUAAAAAAAAAAGAAUUGAAAAUCAAAUAAAACAAAUAGAAUAAACAAAAGAAAAGUAAAAUAAAAGAAAUGAAAUGAAAAUAUUCAAUGGGCUAUUAAACUUGGGCCAUGUAAAGGUAGUAUGGAUUGUUAAAAAGAAAUGAAAUGGAAUUGGGCCUUUGGUUUUGGGCUUAAGUGGCUAGUGAAAAAAAAAAAAAUUGGUUGGCCUUUUGAACUUUGGGCCAGGCUUGUGUGGCUGGAGGGUUAGUAAAAAAAAAAAAAGGAAAAGGAAAAGGGGAGAAUUAGAAACUGGCAGCACGCGAGGAGAGAGCCUUGCACUGUGCAGAAAUUUGGUCACUCGCCGGAUCUUUGACUGACCGUUUGGACGGCCAAACGACAUUCGUUUCGGCCCAAAUUCGGAGGAAGUGCUCUAUUCAACUAGAGAAACAAGUCUACGGUGACUAAUUUCAUUUUUAACGGUCAACUUCUCAUAUUUGUGUAGGGGAAAACUAACCCUAAAAUUCAAAUUUAAUGUAUUUUUUAUUGGAAACAAAAUUAUAAAUCUGAUAAUUAUGAGUUAAGUAUAUAAUUUUGAUGUUAUGUGAAUUUUUUGGAAUGAUUUGGGGUUUUUUUCUGGAUUUUUUUGUAAUUUUCGGAAUUCUUUGUAAUUGAUAAUUAAUCGUUUUAGAUUGUUAAAAAUUAUUAGAAAUUUUAUGAAAUUUUAUUUUGGAAUGCAAUGAUAUUUAUUAAAUCUUGAUGUGUUUGAAUAAGGUUUGAAAUAUUGUUAGUUGGUGAGAACCUAGUGGGACUUAUAUAUGAAAAAAAAAAAAAAAAAUUCAGAGUGUUUUAGUUGACUGCCAACGUGGAAUAGGAGAAACCCUUAGGGUCAAACCUUUGACCUGGGGUCACGGGCCAAAUUUUGAGUUGCCCGGACAUCACAUGACCAUCAAUUUUUCUCUUUCAUUCCAAACACAAAUGAUGUCAUGGUUUCAAUAAUUUCAAAAGAAGGUAUAUGGAUUAAUAUCACCAGCCAAAAGCUUGCUUGUCAUGAAAAGCAAUGAUAUUCUCCAAAAAUAAUUUUUGGAGAAUUUUGAACAAGUUCUUUUUGAACUAAUGUGACAGUGGCAUUUUUGAAGAUAACUAGAAAUGUUUUAACAUUUGGACUUUGCAAUUGAAGCCCAUAUGAUUUCACUUUCUUACUGAAAUAAAAGCCAUAUAUAUAAAACAUUUUCAUAAAAAAAAUGCUACUCAUACCACCUUUUCUAUAACCUUUUUUAUCGCUUGAUGAUGUGACUACAUGGCAAGUAGUCACUUAAUGGUAGAAGUAUAUUUACUUCAUCUUCUACCCACAUCAACAAGCUGGUAAAAGUGGUGGUGGAAAAGGUGAUUUGAAUGCACUUUAGAAUCAAUACAAAUAUGCACAUCCAUGCAAUUAGAGCAAGCAACAAUACUAGGGGUCUCCAAUGGGUGGGCGGGGCCGUAAAUAGGAGGCCUGUUGACUGGUCAACGGGCCGGGCCAUGCUAAAAUGCUAGGCCGGGUCGACGGGCUUUUUGAAUUAAGCCAAAAUGGCUUUCAAAAAAGCCAAGGGAAGGGGAAGGGGAAGGGGAGAUUCCAAUCCCUCUCCUCAUGUUUAAACUUUAAGCUUCUAAUCAGCUAAACUACAUUCUUUUUAUGUUUAUUAAUUGAGUUAAUUAUAUAUAUAUAAAAAUAAAAUAUAUUAUUUUUUUGACCGUUGGAGACUAACUCCAGUCCAUGUGACUGUUAGAGCUAAGCCUUCAACGGUCACAUGGCCAAUUAUUUUGAAUUUUUUUUUUUAACCUUCCUAUAAAAAUACAUAUAGGAAGGUUAAAAAAAAAAAAAUUCAAAAUUCAAAAUAAUUGGUCAUGUGACCGUCGGAGGCUUAGCUCCAACGGUUAGACGGGCUAGAGACCAUUGGAGCCUUUAAUUUUUUUUUUAAAAAUAAUAUACUUUAUUUAUAUAUAUAUAACUCAAUUAAUAAAUACAAAAAGAAUGUAGUUUAGCUGGUUAGAAGCUUAAAGUUUAAACAUGAGGAGAGGGGUUUGAAUCCCCCCCUCUCCCUUCCCUUGGCUUUUUUGAAAGCCAUUUUGGCUUAAUUCAAGAAGCCCACCGGCCCAGCCCGCCUGCCAGUCUGCGGGCUCAUAGGCCGGGCCCGCGGCCUAGCAUUUUAGCAUGGCCCAGCAUGGCCCGGCCCAGCCCGGCGCGCCCGUUGGAGACCCCUAGUCAUUUUCAUGUAAUCAUCUUAGAGCCCAUUUGGAAAAAAGUUAAAAGAGCUUAAUAAUAGUUAGAUGCACUUUUUUACAAAAUUAAGAGUCUGUUUUGGCAGUGCCUUUUACAAGACACUUCUAAUAUACAAAAUUCUCUGAAAAAAAGCCUGUUAUUUGGCAAAACUUAAAAAGUACUUUUAACAAGUUAAAAAAUCAAUUGUAGUGCUUCUAAAGAAGUACUUGAUAGGAGAUUCUCCCACAAACACUUUGGCUAAAGAUAGGGAAAUUUAUGGAAAUCACCUUUAAGAACCCGAGACACUAGCAAGAAAUUCUCCCAAAAACUACAUUCAAUUGUAUGAUACAUGGUAAAAAAACACUAUCAAAUCACUUUUUUUCUUAGUUUUAUAUCCAAACAUUAAUAAAUUACCAUUAAAAGCAUUUGUAAUGGAAGUGCUGUUAUCAGACAGAUUAAAGCGAUUUAAUCAGAAUUACCCCAAACCAGCUCUUAAUCAUCACAAACAAGAACAAUCAGAACUCAAUCGCUUUACCUAUUGACAAAGUUAGAUCUAUAAAACAAACCACACAUAUGCAUACAUACAGAGAGAUGAUACAAUGAGGGAAAAUACUUACAGGGACAUGUGAGUCUCUGGCAUUUCUCUUGGCAUCAGUUGCAGAGAAAACAGUGUAGACAAGAACAAAAGUGCCAACUAUCUCAGCACCAAGCCCAUCGCCUUUGGAAUAGCCAGCAGCCACAACAUUGGCUCCACCACCCAACACCUCAUACUGAUGUCCCUGGAACCCCUUCACCACACCUGCGCCACAGAUGGCGCCCAGGCAUUGCAUGAUCAUGUAGAACACGGCUCGGGUUAGAGACAGCUUUCUGGCCAAGAGCAGGCCAAAUGUCACCGCUGGGUUUAUGUGUCCUCCUGCCCAAACCCAUCAACAAAUUAUUGAUAAUAUCAACACAGAUUCAAAUCAAGAUGUUGCAGAAAACUCUCUCUAGAAAAUUGUGUGGAGGCUUAUGAGGAAAGAGCUGAGAAAGUAGACAGGGAAAAAAUGCGGUGCAGAGAGCCAUAUUAUGAAAACAUAGGGAGGAAUCUCAGUAAGUUUGUUUGGUUGCUAAGAAAUGUAGGGAAAGAAUGGGAGUAAGAAUUUAACAAAAUUGAACGUUAAUUAGGCCACGAAAAUACUCAAAUAUUCUCAUUCUUUUAUUUUCCUCCUCUUUUUCAUCAACCAAACAAGGACUUUCAAAAUUUCAGAAAACCCCGUCAAAAUCUUCCAUAAUAUCAUGGAAAAAAAAAAGAAGGAAUGCCAGAUACCCAUUUUCAAUCUGAACAUAUCUACCCACAAGAGCUGAUGAAAACGACAAAAGAAAUCACGGAUCAAAGCUUCUGAGCAUAUCAAACCACCAUGGAAAAAACAAGAACAAAACAAAGGAAAAGCACGACUCAACAGAUCAAACAAAAGAACAUAUAUAGAGAGACAGAGAACAGACCUGAGAUACCAGCAGUGCAGUAGACAAGGGCAAAGAUCAUACCCCCAAAAGCCCAAGCAAUACCCUGAAUACCAACAGUGGCACACUUGCUGGGGGACCUGACAACACCCAUAACAGUCAAGACAGUGAUGUAGAGGAAGAGGAAGGUGGCCAUGAACUCGGCAAUCCCAGCUCUCCAAAACGACCAUGAAUGAAGCUCACCAGGCUCAAACAGUGGAGCUGGUGGAGGCUCCCUAUAGUCCUUGUCUGUCUGUGCUGAUGUCCCUAUCGGUUGCCUCUCUGUAAACUUGUUGGCCCCCAACCUCACAUCCUCUUCCUUCCCCUCCAUUUUUCUCCCUCAAAUUCUCCCUCUACAGAUCUGAAAACACUGAGAGUUCAGAGCUUAGUGAUGAAGAUGAUGAACUGCGUGAGGAAACCGCGGUGGGGUUUGGAGUGAUUUAUAGAGUAAGCAAAGUGAAAGAGAAUAAAAGAAAGAGUGGCGAACUAUCAAAAAGGGAUCCUCCAGGAUUUUGAUAAUAUCGUUGGCACCCCUUGGCUUGUUGGAGAAAUAUUGGGUUAGGUUGCCAAACAUGUGAAAUGGCUAUAUUACCCUUUUAGGUUACUUCGAGCUCACUUGAAAAGGGGUAAAAUUCGGGUUCCAACAAUUUUGAAGAAAUAAAAAUUAUAUAUGCUUUUUCAAUUGAAGGAGUAAUUCAUGAAUUUUUCAUAAAGAAUCAUAUUACUAUUUUAAUAUUAACUUCUAUAGUUUUUGCAUGCAAAUGAUAUAUUUGAAAGUGAGGAAAUAAAGUAGAUAAUGGGCAUAAUGGUCUUUUCGUAGCAUCAAAAGUGACCGACAAUAGAACUCAAUAGUGUUGAGGGGGCCCUUCUGACAUUUACAUGAAGAAAAGGACCUAUUUGUUAUUUUAAUAUUUUUCUAUCAAUUAUUCUUCAUUAAGGAUUUCAAUAAUCUAAUAUUAUUAAUAAUUUUUUUCAAUUUUAAAUCAAAAAAUAUUUGAUUAAAAAGAUGAAAUAAUCCCCAAAAUAAAAAAUCUAACCAUUUCUAUAUUUUUUUUGAAAAAAUAAUCUAUUUUUGAUAUAAUGUUUUUUUCUAUUUUAGAUAUUUAUAUGUAGAUUUUAAAAGAAAAGGUUAUUUUUAUAAAAAAAUAAUAAAGAUAUUUUUAUUCAAAUAAUAUAAAAAAAAAAUGUGAGGUUAAAUUUAAAAAAUUGGGUUUUGAAAGUCUUUUAAUCAAAUAACCCUUAAAUCAAUUGAUAGAGUUUAUGUGGAUAAAAUAGUCAGUAACGGUCAAAAAUCAUUAGACCUAUAAAAUUAUAAUAAAUAAAUAAGAGAAAAAUGGUGUGGCUAGGAAAGUUUUGGAGGCAUUGGGAUUCUGAGAACGUUUGAGCAAGCGACAGCCUAAAAAGAAGGGAAGUGUUGGACGCAUCCUCAGAUAAGGCGAGUUUGCCAACGGCUACCACUCCUCACGUGCUUUUCAUGAACGCUUCAUUAAAUUUUCAUUUUCCUUAAUAUUUAUUAUUAUUUUAAGCUAUAUGCCUCACUCUAGUCUCUAUCUUAGUUUGCUUAAAAGUAGAAAAACAAUCAUGUUGGGACAGCCCACAUUGGUGUUAGCCUUGUUUGUGGCGCAGGCUAGUCUUAGGCCCCAUGUCAUAUAUUUUUUCAAAGUUUUCCACCACCGCCACAUCACAUCAAACCGCCCAAGCAUCACUAUUUAGCCACGUGGCAUCGUCCCAUGUGAUCCAGUUGCAACCGACCAACCCCAAUGUUGGGCUGGCCUUACCAUCCUUCCUCCAUUGGACACGUGGCUUCCACCCUCAACGCCUUUGACCACGUGAUAAUUUCUUUUAAUAAUUUUAUUUAUACAUUAAUAUCUAAUAUUUAUUUUAGAUUUAAUUAAAAGAAAAUUUAGAGAUUAGAAGUAGUGUUGCUUAUUGAUUAAUAAUUUAAUAUGUGGACAGAAGUCACAGAACUAGAAACUUUUAGGGAAUGACAAACAAAAAGAGAUAAUUACUUGGCCUUUUCCCAAACAAAAGAAAAGGGCAGACAGGCCUAGGCAUCGUACCAUAUCAUUGGUAAGACCUAUAUAUAUAUAUAGGCCGUAGGGUUUCUCCAGUAGCUUCGCCGACUGAUAUAGUGAUAUUCUUUCAACGGGAAAAUGGUAUGACUAAAAACGUUGGGUCCAAGCCGAACUUGUAAUUUAGUCAUUUAAUUAUAUAGUUAAAUAUGAGGAAAACUCUAUGGUGUUACCUGUUCGAUGUACGAUUUAUAUCUUAAAAUUUUAUAUGUAACGUUUUUUUUUUAUAAAUGACAUUCUCAUUCUUAGAUAUUGGAUUUUUUUUAAAGAGAAAAUUUAUGAGAUAAUUAAACAAAUUUUCACAAAUUAAAGAACAAAAGUAUAUUUCUAUAUGGAAAUUUGAUAUUGUGUAUAGCUUAAUUUUUGUCAUUUAAUAAUUUAAGUUGAAAUUAAAUCAAAUUGAAUAUCGUGUUAAAUUUAAUAUUUAUCAAUUAAUAAUUUAAAUUAUCAUUAAAUAAAAUUAAUUUUUAGUUAUUAAUUUAAAACUUAUUAUUUGAUAUUUUUUUUACUUUUUAAUAUUAUUUGAUAACCCUAAUUUAAAAUUUGAUUUUAUAUGUUAAUAUUAAAUAACUUUUAUAUGUAAUUUUUAUUUUUAAUCAUUCUCCUCAUUUAUAUAAUUAUUUUUUAAAACAAUACUUAUAAAAUAAGUAAAAAUAACUUAAAAUAAUUAAAUGAUAUUCUUGAAAAACAACUUAUGACCUGUUUGGCACAAGGUUUAAAAUAUCGAUAAAUAUAUUUAGAUUUUACGGAUAUAUUAGAAAUAUCGAUGGAUAUUUUGACAAAAAUAUCGAUGGAUAUUUUGACAAAAAUAUCGAUAAUGCGAAAAUUAUUCAAAAUUCACGAGAAUGCUUGAAAAAACUUUAAAAAAAUGAUAAAAUAAGUAAGUGUAUAUAUAUUAAAGUUAUUUUGUAAGUGUAAUUGAUAUAAGUACGAUUAAAGAUAAUAUUUAUCAGAGUUUUAUAAAAAAAUUAGCAUAAAUUUCUUUAAUAUAUUUAUAUUCAUUUAUUUUAAAAAUUAAAAUUCUUUUAUUAAAACAUAUUUAUUACAUUUUAAAUAAAAAAAUUAAAUUGAUUUAUAUAAAAUAUUUUAUUUGAGAUUUGAUUUCUAAAAAUUUAUUACAAGUGACAAUUAUUCUAUUAACAUUAAUGUAUUUAAAUAAUUAAAAUUAUAAAUAAUUUAUCUUAUCAAAUUAAUUUUAAUUUAUAGAAUAUUAGGACUUUAUUAAAUUUUUUUAUACUGUAGCAAUUUUUGAGUAAAAUUAUAUUUUUAAUAUUUUAAAAUAAAACAUUUAAAAUUAAAUGGAUAAAAAAAUGAAGUGAUAGUAAUGUUUUAAAAUAGCAUUAAUAAGAUAAAUAUAAAAAGUAGUUAAAUAAAAGGAUAAUAUAGAUUUUAAAUAAAUAAAAAAAUUUAAAUGAAUAAUUAAAAAAAAAAAAAAAGAACUUUAAAAAAAAUCUCCAUAUUUCCCAUUGCAAAUAUAUCAGUUAUCCACUGGUGUAUAUAUAUAUAUAUAUAUAUAUAUCGCGGAUAUUUUGAUCACCAAUAUUUGGAUAGGUUUGCCAAUAUUUUAUCGAAAUUCCCACCAUUCAAUAUAUUGGCAAUAUUAAAAAAUCCAAAAUUUUAAUCUUUGGUUUGGCGUUCAAGAAUAGUUUUAUGUUUUCUAGAGAAAAAAAAUUAAAAAAUAUGUUUGACAGUCAGAAACUAUUAUUUUUUAUUCUCGAAAUACAAAAAACAAAAAACAAGAAGUUUUCAGAUAACAUCUUUUAAUUGUUUUCACUUGUUUUUAUAAAGUUGUCUUAAAAAAUAAUUAUACAAACAUAUAUAAUAAUUAAAACUAAAAUUGUAGACAAAAAAAUUAUUUUUAAAAAUAUUAAAAAUGGGUUAAAUACAAUAUAGGCUUCCAAAACUUUUGUUCUAUAGAACAUCAAAAAACUAUUUUUAAAAACAAUUACCAAACAUUUCUUAUCUUCUCUUUUUUAGGAACAAAAAAAUGUUUUCUAGCUCUUGUUUUCUAAUUGCCAAACAUAUUUUAUUAUUUUUUUGUUCUGAACAAUAGAAAUACAUUUGUCAAAUCCAACCCAAGAGUGUUUUAGAACUGCUUUCUAGACUCAUAUUUUCUGAUGGAAUAGCAAGUAAAAUUAUAUAAGUACAUUCUGUAGCAUAUUUCCAAGAAAUAACAUUUUGCCAUCAAUCCUUGUAUUAGAAUUUCCAUCAGUCUUCCAUACAAGCUGCUUAACUUUUGGUAUAAUAAUCUGAAUUUAUUUACUAACUAGAAACCAAGAAAACUUGUGGUUUUACCGCUGACUGGAGUCUCUCAAUCCACACCAGUGCAGAAAUGGCUUGGCUCAUGUCUGGCACUCGUCCAAUCGGUUCUUGUGCAGCUGAAAUGCUGGAUUAACCCAAGCUCCACAGCUGCACUGCAUGCCUGCCCAGUUGAAGGAACCCAAUCGAGCUUUGCAGCCCAUGCAUUGCAGCUUCUCUUCUACAUGACCUUCAUGUACUGCAUAUAAUUCACAAUCCAAAGGUUAGUCUGCUAGUUUAGAAGAACAAAUUUAUGGGUUUUUAAAUAAAAUAUGACUUGGGUUUAGACGCUGACCUGCUUGCAUCCAUUUCAUGGGCUCUACAAAUAUGGAGGAGCACUCAGAUGGUUCCUUUUCUGUCAGGUCACCACUUCUCUUUCUCCAUUUGAAGCAUUUUUCUCCCUGGCCACGCUCAUGUGGGACUAUGUUCUCUUGUGCAGCAACAAUUCGUCGACAUCUCUUACAGCGGUAUAUGACUUGAGGUUUUGGCUUGGUUUCUAAAUCAGAGUUAGUAGUUGUGGCCAAUUGCACACAAGGACCGGAUGUUCCUUCCAUCUCAGUCACUGCCAAAGUUCAAAAGGUAGAUAUGAUUAGCUAAACCAUUCCUAGGAAUCGAGUGAAAAAAAUAUUCAGGAUAUUAAUAGGGCAAUAAAGAAACCUCGACACAACAGUGGAAAAACAACAAUAAUUGACAAAUUGAAUUGAAGUAAAAGGCCAUAUGCUUUAUUUUUGCUCCUGGUAAAAACAGAACUUACCAUUUUUGUUUGGUUUUUAGGAUUGGGCCUUUUUAGAAGUGUGUAAACAAGGACCAAAAUACAAAAAAACACCCAAUCGUAAAGGUCAAAGGAAAAGGUAAAAAAGGAUCAAGAGAAGGCUAGAAGGCAACCCAUAAGAUGACAUUUUGAAGUCCAGGAUGAAGGGCAUUGUGCUCAGGAAUCUCAAGGAAAUUUGAGUGGUACUAGAGCAUUAAGACCUCAAGAGCAAUAUGAUUUCAUCAGCAAGAAUAAACAUAUGCAUACAAAUAUUCAAACAAUCAAAGGACAAGUGCAAUUUAAUAAAUAACUCUUUUGACAAAUGAGAAAAUAAAUGAACACUAGAAAGGUUUGUAACCAGAGACCCAAGUGGCACUUAUAGUUCUAUAACUUCAUACAAAUAGAUUUUCUCAGUAUUAAGUUGAAUUCUUCAUUCAUCAACCUGAACUUGUUUUUCCUUUUUGUUUGGUUCAGAUGUGAGAAAAACAGUCAUUCCCAUAAAAAGGACAAUGCCUCAAGUUAUGAAGAGGCAAUUCAUAAUCAUUAUUGCCAUCUCUAGAUAGAGACAGAAGCUGGUGAUUUUUCUGCAACAAGAAGCUAAGGAAUACAGCAUUGCAAUUACUCAAGUGAAGUCUAUAAAGCAAACUGUGAAGUUAUAGACUUCAAGGCUUUGAGACAACAAGGCUAUAAAGGUGGUCUAUGAGAUUUGAGUUUGCUGCCGCCAAAAACAGUGGAUGACAAGCAAGACCGGUCAUGAUCCACUGGCAAGACAAAGGUGCAACUAAUGAAAUAGAGGAAGCCUACAAAGAACAACAGUAAAACAAGAGCUGCAAUAUGGACAGCAACUGAUACGGGUGCAACCUUUGAGAAAAAAAAGAUGAAUAUUUCGUCCUCGUAGAAGGGAAUGCUGAAGAAAAGGUUCCAUCAGGCUAAUAUGGCAAAGAAUUAUGUGAAGAAGAAAAGUUGUUAUGAGGAGAAAGCAGUAUGUCCCUGGGUUUUGAUUCAUGAUCAGCAAUAAUUAUGACCUUAUUUCUAUAUAAUACAAUACAAAGGGUGCAGAAGAUACAUCAAAAGAUUGGGUUGUUACUUGUAAAAACAAUUCUUAGAAAAACGAGUUUGUGAAUACAAAGUAAUUACAAUUAGUGAUCUCUCUGCAAUUUAAAAAAAUUUAAAAAUAGUUCUAUAGUAUUCAUUUUCUUCUAUUCUCAAAAGGAAUUCAUACAUUAUAUUCAAAUAGAAGAUACAUGAUUCCAAAAUGAACUCAUCCCGGUACCAAAUAUGUAUAAGAACUAACAACAACAACAAUAAUAGUAGAACUUUUUCUAAUAUAGACCCCUUUUCACUUACCCUUUUCUUUUUUCCCCCCCUAUUCAAACCCUUUUUGAUAGACAAGCAAAACGUAUUGUAAACAAAGACUAGAAAAAAGGGCAUAUUGAAGUGAGCAAGGACAUACAAAGAUGCCAAAUGGCAAUGCGCAAGAAGAGAAAAACAAGAACAACUUCCUUCCCCCCUAACAUGUAAACCAACCAGUCUCCAAAAUUUACUAUAGGCAUGGAUGCCUUAUCUAAGAACUUCCUAGCCAAUGCAAAAAAACAUAUAAAAAUGAGGUUAUGAGUGCUUGAUCCAUUUGUUCAACACUUUCAAAUGAUUCACGGUUUCUUUCCUUCAAUCUGCUCAAAAAGACCAAAGAAGCAGCCCUCCAAGCCUUCCAACCUUUGAAAAUUUUAUAUUGCUAUUUAAUUCUAAAAUUUUGUAAUGGGAGUGUGUUUGAGUUUCUUUCCCCUUAAUUCUGAAGGACCCGUUAGGGAAUGAUUUUCAGAUUUUGAGAAAGGCUAAAAAACGCCUCCUAAUGUCGAAAACACUACGCUAUAAAAAUUAGGUGUUUGACAAAUUUAUGAAAAUGGCUUUUACAAAAUCUAAAGAAGCACGUUAAGUGAUUCUCGGCCAAUAACUUGGCAGAUGAUUCUUUCAAAAACAAUUGUUUUAUAUAAUACAUUACCAAAAACAUUAUCAAAGCAAUUUUUUUAAGUUUAUAUCCAAAGACCAAACCAUUCUCUUUACAAAUGCUAGCAUUUGUAAUGGAAGCCCUACCAACAAUAGCGCUACGGAUAAAACUUUAAGUAGAAUCACUCCCAACGAACCCUAAAUCUUUGUGUUUAUGAUCAAGGAAUAAAAUUACAAAUUCGAUAAUAUUAUUAAGCAACAAAGGGGUGGGUCUAUGGCAUCUCCUGAGAAAAGCUUACCCUCUGUUUGGUUGCUGCGAAAACCAAGGAACACGAUACUGAAGCGAGGCAAUUGUACAAUUGAUUCAGUGACCGUCAGUUGAAUGUGCGAUUUUGCUUUGAAUUUUUUCUUUUCCUGUCUUUUCUCGGAGACCGAACAGAGGGUUAGGGUUUACAAAAGGCAAAUAUAGAUUGCAGAGACUAUAUAUUUACAUUAAAAAAAAAUUAUAACAAAAGAAAUAGAGUAUAACCAAAAGGAAAUCAGAGGAACGCCUACUUGAAGAUUCUUCUGUGUGACCAAACCAAGUGAGGAGUUGGCUCAUGAGCGGAUUUCCUGAUCCUUGGCCUUUUUUUGGAACUUGAAAGUUGGAGGGAUAAAACGACGCCGCUUUGUAUUGUUGGCUGACGAACGGUGUCGUUUUAAAGAAAGUAGCCUUAUGCAACGGAAAAACUGAACAGGUUUGAGAUAAAUUACAAAAAGGAAUUAACAUAUGACACUUUUUUCUAAGGAAAAAUUUGAAUAAGAUGUAUAAGAUUAGAAAUAUUUGUAAACACAAGGAUAACCUUGUAGUUUUUUAAUAUAAUUAGACUUGUUAUACGAGCAAGGAGUUAGUUAAUAAAUUUAAUAUUAUAUAUAUAUUUUAAUUAUUUAAUAAAAUUAUUAAAAAAUCAAUAAAAAAUUAAACUAAAUUUUAAAAUUUUUUAAAUAUAUGCGAUUAAAAAUAUAUUAUAACAUUAUGAAAAUUUUAUUCAUAUUGUUAGUCUAAGAGUUAUUUUAAGUAUAUUUUGAUGAUAACAAAUCAUGAUUAAGUGUGUUAAUGGUUGUAAAUCAUAAUAAGUUUUAAGUGAUAUACGAGAAAAUUUAAAAAAAAAAUGGCAAGUUAUCUUAAAAUAUGGAAAAUAAAGUCAAGAUUACAUGAAAACUGAAUUCAGUGUAAGAUAAAUCAUUUGGGUGCACUUAAAAUGUAAACUUGUUCAUACAUUUCAUCAUACAUGAUUUUUCUAUUAAUUUACAUAAACAAUCAUGUUUUUAUUUGAAUCUGAAUAUAUAAAUCCAAAAACCCCGUAGGCAAAACUCUUUAAGAUUGAGUUAUAUAGGUUCCUAAAGAUUAUGUCUAAGUGUUAAAAAAGUUUUUUGUAGGAAAAAAAAUGGUUUUUAAGCCUAAAACGGUCUAAUUGGUCAACGAGAGACCUAAAGUGGCUCAACUAGUUGGGAAUUAGUCAAAUAGAUUACUCUUUCCCAUUCGAUAACCGAUCAAAGGUGCACAAAAAUUUCUCUUUCUUUCAAAAAGUUUGCAUUCCUGAUUUAGCCUACCUUUUUCCUGAUCAAACCUAAAAAAAAGACAAACGUUCACUUGUUAUCAUUUGUUGUCCAACGACUAUUGAAUUGGUCGAACUAGAGCUUGACCAAUCAAUAUUAGUUUAUGCCUUUUCUGAUGUCUAAGGUUAGAAACCUAUAAAUAUAAAUAUAAAUCUCCUAUGCAUUUAUCGACAAGAGAAUACUUACAUUGAAUUUCUCAUCUACUAUUUUCUUUUAUUCAAAACUCUCAUUAUUUUGUGCAUUAAUCAGUCACCUAUAAAUCAUUCUUAGGGCAUCAUUUCUAUCAAUCCUUAUUAUUUAUUCUUUUAUACAUUUAUUAAUAAGAGAACACUUGCAUUGAAUUUCUCAUAUACUAUUUUCUUUUAUUCAAAGCCGUCAUUUUUUUGUGCAUUAAUCAUUCACUUGCAAAUCAUUCUUAGGCAUCAUUUGUAUUAAUCCUUACCUUAUUUGUAUUUAUUCAUUUAUUGAGUUAGGAUUGAGUGAGGUUCAACAUUCAAUAUACCAAGAAAUAUUGAGUAUUGAAGUUUCAAGUGGAGAUUGAACUUAAAGAAAGGUUGUAAGAACCUAUUGGAGCAUUGAAUCCAAUUGUAUCUCUUGGAAGUUUGGGCUAAGAGCUUUAGUUUAGUGAAAGCCUCCUUCAAAAGAAGUUUAAGAAGAGUUGACGUAUGUGAAAUUUACUGAACCAUUAAAAAAAUUGAGUUUACACAUUUCGAUCUUUCUCUUUAAUUUUAUUGUGCUACUAAUUAUUUAAUAUUUUUUUAUUUUCAUCUUACUUCUCUUUCCUAUUAUUUUCUCCAUAUAUUUUACCUCAAAUUUUUUAACUAUAUAUAUAUAUAUAUAUAUAUAUAUUGUGAUAGUUACCUCAAAGGAACAUUCACACGUGAAGAGGCAGUACCAUUUAAAGUCUUCUCAUGCAUAUUUUAAUUAUCAAAAACCCUUUUCUAUUUUUUAAAAAUGAAUCACAACUUGGUAAAUAUUUGAAUAAAUAAGGAUAAAGAAAACCAAUUGCACCCUUAUUUAUUGUUGUAGAGAUGUAUUAUCGUACCUUCUUUACGCCUUUAUUUAUAGCUGUAGAAAUUUACUAUCAGAUAUACCUGUGGGAUAAGUCGUAGAGAAAUAAAGAAGAGAAGACGAGGAGAAAAGGAAAAUGGAUGAAGGGAAGUGGGGGUUAGGAAUUGGGAAGUGGGUGUGUGUCCACAUGUUGUAGUGCAUGAUUUGUGUGUGUGUGAUGUUAGUACCCAGGAAUUAGCGGAAAUUUCAAAUUAAAGUUUGAAUUUUAUGAUUUUAUUUAAAAAGUGUUUUAAAAAAACAGUUUUGAAAAAUAAUUUCAAGAACUAUUUUUAAAAAUUGUUUUAUGAUUUUUUUAGAACAAAAGUCAUGUGGUGACUUGAAAUGUUAUUAACUUAUUUUGUAUGUUUUUAAAAAAGUAUAUGAGAAUUGUUUUAAAAAAUGUUGCAUAAAAAUCUCCCUGCUGCCUCAUUCUGCCUGAACCCUCGUCAACCAAAACCAAAACCGUCAUCACCUUGACCUCCCAAAACCCUCCCUUAAGACCGAGAGAACGGGCCUAAUGGGCCUACAGAAACCCUUCCCUUGCAGGCCCAGGGAUGAAAAAGUCAUUUGGGCCUUCAAAAACAGAGACAGCCUCCCCACGGCGUCAGGCCUGCUCCCUCUACUGAAAGGCAGGGCCGCAGGGGGCGACGGUCCCUCAAGCGACACGCCAUCGGCACUCUACUCCCGGCGCGUGGGUUCCUCCCUGCAACUACAUCCGCCUGCAAAAACUAAUUUUCUAGGCAAACAAACGGCCUCCAGAUGGAGGCCUCAGGCUCCUGCAAAGGUUGUAAAAAGAAUUCUUUGAUUCGGGACGAUGUAACGGGCUCGUUGGUGUGUUCAUCCUGCGGCCUCAUCCAACCUUUCGACAACUACGAUCCCCAAUUGGGUGGCCUCAAUGGUCCACAGGGCACAUUCGUCCGCGUCGGCACCGCCGGAACCGGAAGCUCCUUGAACUACAAGGACAAGAAAAUCUUCGAAGCCCAGAAACUCAUCGAUGACUUGAUGUUCAAGUUAGGGUUUUCGAGUGAGAAGUCAAAUGAGGUCAGGACAAUGGUUUCCACCAUUACAGAAGGAGAGUUCGGUCAAGGCGAUUGGUUCCCUGUCCUCGUCGGCGCUUGUUCGUAUGUUGUAAGGCGGCGGAGCAAUCGAGCACUACCGAUUGCCGAAGUGGGGGCGGUGAUUGGUUGCGAUGUUUAUGAGCUAGGGCGAAUGAUCGGCCGCGUUGUUGAAUUUUUGAAUCUGAAAUUGCCGGAGCUUGACAUUGUGAAUUCCUUGGAAUUAGCGUUUCGAAAAUGUGGGAGUUUGAAUAGGGUUUCCAAGGAUAAGGUGGAUCAAAUGCUUAAACAAGGCAAAUUUUUGGUGCAAUGGGCAGUGAAAUGGUUUUUGACGACGGGGCGGAGGCCACUGCCGAUGAUUGCAGCUGUGUUAAUGUUUGUUGCAGAAUUGAAUCAAGUGGAUGUUCGGAUCGAGAAUAUUGCAAAUGAAAUUCAUGCCGGAGUGGCUACGAGUAGGUUAAGGUAUAAAGAGCUUUCAGAGGCUCUUGUCAAAGUAGCCCAAUCAUUGCCAUGGGGGAGUGAUGUUUCCACUAAAAAUAUAGUCAAGAAUGCACCUUUUGUGAUUCAAUAUAUGGAGAUGAAGUUGAGGUCGCAAUUAUCCGGAAAACCCAGAAAAGGGAAGAAGAAUUUGGAGAGGAUUGGUUUUGAUUUGGACAGUGUUGUUAGUGAAUGUUUGAAGAAAGAAUUUGACUAUGUAUCCGAAGGUUAUAGCAUUGAGAAUGGUGCUGCAGCAGAUGAUAGAAAUGGGUUAUUGUUAGACAUUGAUGACUCCGACAAGCUCAAGCUUUCGCAAGAAUCCUUGUCUUUGAUGUACUUUAAGUUUGUGAAUGAGGGUUCUCGGGUUAACCCUAUGGGAGAUGAUGGAGGGGAUAACAGAAGAAGAAAAAGGAGGAGAGAGUAUGAUCCUCCUGUAAUUAAGAAUUGGUGGAAUGGAAAAUCGGAUAAGAGUAAAAAGCUUUUGCUUAAGCAAAUACUGGAGAAAGAUGUAGGAUUGAAUGCUUUGCCUCCAUCUUUUGUUUCCGGAUGCUUAGCCUAUGAACGGAGGAGGGAAAAAAUAAAUGCUGCUAAGUUGCGCAUCAAGAAGGUUAUGUAUCCAUCAAAUACUAGCUCAGAUGACACAGAUGAUUUUUCGGCCAAGGAACAGGAACAUUUACAUGCGGAGAAGAAACGAAGGAGAGCAAAAGCUGAUAUUGAUUGGGAAGAUUUUGCCAUUGAAACCCUCCUCCUUCAUCAUGUUAAAGAAGAUGAAAUUGAGAAGGGGCACUACAAUACCUUAUUGGAUCUUCAUGUUUUCAACUCAGGGAAUUUGUGAGUGGUUAAGACAUUCUUGACUCAGCAAUGAUAUGUCUGGAGGGACAAUUUCAGCAUUUUUCUAAUUGUUCAGCAACAAGAGAGAUAUGGUUUUGAUUUUUGUUGAGAAAAAAAUUAUCCAACUCCUACAAAUUUUGUUACAAAAAAUUGUGAUUAUGUAGUGAUUCCACCAUUUGGCUUGAAUAGAUGUCUUCUCUGCAUGAAUCUACUACUUUUCUUUUAGGCCAUGUUUGGUUCAGAAAAUUUGAAGGAAAAUGUAAGGGAAAAAAAAUAUUAAAGAAAAGUAGAAGGAAAUAAAAAGUGAGGGAAAAUAAAAAAAUAGAUUAAAAGUUGAUAAAUUAUUUUUUUUGUUAUUUUAAAUUCAUUUUAUUUAUUUUAACUCAUCAAUAUAAAUAUUAAAUAAUUUAAAAAUACGUAAAUUUUUAAUUAGUUUUAAUUAUAUUUGAUUUUCUUUGAUAUUUUUCAUAGGACAACUAAAUAUGAAAAAAUAAUUUUCCUUUCCAUUCUUUUUCUCUCCUUAGUAUUUUCUGGGAACCAAACAUAACCUUAUUAGAGUUUUCCCUUGAUAAAUUGAUAUGUUCUGCUUCUUUUUAAUAGCUACACCAUUUAUUUGGUUGUUGAUACAACAAGAGGGAAUGAAGAAAACAAUAAAAAAGAGAAAAAAAAAAAUUUGGAUUUUAUAUUUCCCAUUAUUUUGGCUUCAAAAAAUCUAUAGAUAUGUAAUUGUAUCAAGGUCAAUUCAAUGAAGACUUCUAUUCUAACUUUCAUGUUUUAAUUUCUUUUCUUUCCCCUCCUUAAACUUUUUUUUUUUUUAAUAAUAGAAUUAGGAAGAAUUUUUUCACUUGAGAUUCUUCUUAAAAUUCAUUUUAUUUAAGUGUUGAAUUACUAAUUUUCAAAAGUUUAAACUCGCAGGGCCAUAGCCACGAGUGAAGAGAUAUAUAAAACUAUAAAUGAGGGGAAAGAUACCAAAUUAGAAAGAAAAAUACUAAAUGGAGAAACAAAUAUGUAAAUUGCAAAAAGAUGGCUUGAACCACGACCCCCACCAAAUCUAGCUCAAAUACCAUUUUGAACUAUCAAUUUUUUCAAAAACUUUAAUAGGAGGUCUUCAACUCCUAUAAUUUACAUUUCUCCUGUUUGUUUGUCAUAUAUAAAUUCAAAUUCUAUAUCUCUCUCUACGUGCAGAUAUGAGGUUGCAUACGAGGGAGGGUGUGUGGGUGUUAAGAAGCAUGAAAUAUAUAUUAAACUUAGAUUAUGCAAAUUUUACUUAAAAAUUUAAAAAUAAAACUAAAAUAUUUUUAUAAAUUUAAAAUAAUAGUCGACAUGAUGAGUGUUGCAUACUAAUUAGCAUUUUUUUUAAAUAAAGACUAAAAUACUUUUACUUAAGCUUUUUUAUAAAUUUUAAAAACUAUUCGACAUAUACAUUUAAAAAAAAUAAUUAGCAUGAAUGGUAUUGCGUACAUCAAUUUCACUUACUCCCAAUUGUUUAGGCGGCAUUUUGUCUUAUCCUAAUUUUAUAUAUUUUUUUAUCAUCAUUUGUCUUACGUUAAAUAAAAUAUAUUUUAAUAUUUUAUCAAUGAAAAAUAAAAAGUUGUUAAUUUUUUUUUUAUCUCCUUUUCUUUUUGGUUUAUAUUUUACUUUUCAAUUUAUUUUUUGGGUAUGAGAUGAGUCUUGCACUCCUAUUAAUCAUAAUGAAAUUCCUAAAACUAUCGAACAUUUCAAAAUAGAGAAAAAUGGAUAUUUUUUGUGAAAAUUAAUUCAAAAUAAUAUUUUGGAUAAGAAAGAAAUCAAUUUUUUUUUAAAUUUCAUAAUUAUCCUUAUUUUGAAUAAAAAUAUUUUCAAAAUGAAAUUCCAAGAUAUAAAACUGAAUUCCCCAUUAUUUAUUUUAAGCUUUGGGUUUUGUGUUCUUCAGUUCUUUUUCCUUCUCUUUAUUUUGUUCUUUGAUUAUUCCUUCCAUGAAUUCCUUCAAUAAAAUUUGUUUUGUUUUUUUUUAUCGUUCCUUUCAUGUGGGAUAGAAUGAAGCAAAAUAAUAAAUUGAGAGGUCCAAUGUACGUUAUCCCUCAGAACCAGCCCACCCCGCCCACCCCUGUUAGGAGAGGUGUUAAAAUUUGUGUACAAAAUUCUGAGUUGAGGUGUUACUGCUCCUACGAGAAUACUGGUUGGGUCCAUUAUCACCACCAUCUAGAAUUAUAGCUUGUCUCCAUUGUCAGCACCAUUUUGCAUUCAGAGCCAGCUUAACCUGCUCAAAAUAAUCCCUCACUUAUCCUUUUAUAUAGGAUAAGGAAGUUUUUAGAAGAAUAUGAAGACCAAAAUAUAAGGAAAUAGUGUGGAGAAUUCUAAAGAAUUGAAGAAGCUUUCAGAGAUGCCCAUAACAUCUUCAUGACUGAGUGAAAGAUAAGGGAAUAAUGUGGAGAGUUCUAAAUAAUUUGGAGAAUUCCAAAUAAUUAUAACAAAGAAAGGGGAAAAAACUAGUUUAUUGGAAGGUUAGAUACGAUAACAGCCCUUUAGCUAUCUCACAUAAUAUGUUAUAUGUUUAGCACUAUAAAGACAAAAUGCAAUUGGAGAAGCUCACCUAACCCCUAUUAUCUGUAUGGACCGCUGUUAUGGAUUUCUUACUUACUAAGUAGUAGGCCACCUCUUAAGUAUUUGUGCAAUACAUUUUUCUUUUGUUCCAAAACUAUCAAGUCCCUCCAACAAUUUUUUAAUGAUAUAUAGAGAUGUCUAGAUUGGAAAAUACAUUAAUUUAUAAAAUUAAAUCAAUUUGAUAUAUAACCACAUUAAGACAAUAACACAAAUAAAUUAUUUAAUAACGUCCCAAAAAAUAUUAAUUUAAUUCACUUUCUUAAAGUUUUUUUUACUAAAUACAAUUGGUUUUUAGUAGUUUGAAAUUUUAUUAAAUAUCUCUUCUAUGUUUUUCAUUUAUUAUUUUCACUUACCUUACUUUCAACUUAAGGAAAAUAUUAGAUGAAAUUUUAAAUCCAUGUGAUUAAGCAUAUUUGACUAAGUGAGAGGUAUUCGAUGAAAUUUCAAAUCCUAUUUAAGAGAGCUAUUUGAUGAAAUUUUGAAUCAAUUAAAUUAAAUGUAUUUAACCAAAUACAAGGUGAAAUUAACCUAUAAAAAAAAUUAAAUAACUUAACCACGUGAUGAAUUGAGAUAUAAAUUAAAUUCAGAUUUAUUUAAAUUAAAAAUGAAAAAUAAAAGAACAAACACCAUUUUCCUAUCAAAUCAACUUAGUAUUAAACCUUAAUCCUAAUUUACACCUUACUAAUUUAUAAUAAUACAUAUAAUAUCAUAAAUUAAUAAACCCUAUCAAACAAAUUUAGCCUAAAGGGUUAUUAUUAUUUUAGUUUUAGUUUGUCCUAUACUAAAGCAACCCGGUUUAGGCUCGUGAUUCUAAAAAGACUUUUCGUAUACUUUUAAAAUGUGACAAAAGGAAUGUAAUUGACAUUGACCAAUUAACUCCACUUCCCAAAAGAAACCAUACCUAACCCACAUUGCCUUUUGCACAUGCAUUGCGCUAUGAUUUUAAGUAUGUGAGUGUAGUUUGACAUUUGAUGAAUAUGUCUGAACAAGGUUGUUCAUGACCAAAUUGCAAUAUCAAUCAUACCUUCAAGCAAAAAUUAAUUAUUUGUCCAAACUCACCAUAGAUAAUAAAUUUAGUCAUCAUAUGUUAGAAAAAGAGUAAUAUAUGUUAUGUUUAUCCUCCAAUGAUAUCAAUCAUAAUAGAAUCGGUGUGUAUUAAUUUGAGAAGUCAUUAGAGCUAUUUGAAAGGAUUAAAGUAUUUUUAAAAGCUUGAAAAUAUUUUCUUAUAAAAAUUAACUUUUCAAUUGAGAGUGUUUUUGGUUAGAAUGCUUUGGUGUAUAACAUUUUUAUUAGUAACAUAAUAGAUAUGAGUAUAUGGACGAAAAGGAAAAAAUUAUGGGGUCAUAUUUAUUUUCUUAUAAAUUUCAAAGCUUUUCUAGUAAUUGAUUAAGGAUAAAAUUUUAUUUUUUUCGUAUGAAAAAAAAAAGUAUUUAUUAAUGUUAUAGUAAAAUAAAAUAAAGAAAUUUAGGUUGUUGUAGUAUGUAGUUCAUAUCGGGUGAAAGACAUAUAGAGAUAAAAUGACAAAUGUCGGAGUGUAACGAUCGCAGUAUGGUUCAGGGGUAUUUUUUGAAUUUUAUUACCUAAUAGUUAGUAUAAAUAUCAUUUUAUGUAACUCUAAUUGAGAUAUAGUGAAAAUUUUCUUCACUGUUCCUAUAAACAUAGACAAUUUGUCAAACCACGUUAAAUCUAUAUAUUUUCUUUUCAUUUUUCUCUAAUUUUUCAUCAGAAAUCGUUUCACAAAAAUCAACAUAGGCAGAGAUAUGUAAAUACAAAUUUAUGGUUGUUUGAUACAAGUUCAACUUAAGUUUAUUAUCCUUGAAUUCUAAACACGAGGGUUCUACUAAACUUUUAAGGCUUUGAUCAAACCUGAAUCUUCUUUACAUUUUGAUGUUGAGAUUUAAUACGGAAAUUAACACACAAUAUUUCAGAUCAUUGAAUUCAAACUAUCUCUGAUAAUAAAAUAAUAAUAAUAAAAAAAAUCAUUAAUUAAAAAUAGAUUACAUACCGUUUGAAGAACACGCAACCAUGAGAGAUUUCCCUUCAAUUUAUGGAUCUUAAAUCCUUGAUAUCUUCUUCUCCUUAUCAAACCUUGAUACACAUAAUUGUUUUCUGUAAUUGAUGGAAGAGAGUCCUCACCGCACAUGAAGGGGUUUCUAUAAAUAUAUCUUAUUGAUAGGAGAAGAGGGUCAAGAAUACACGUUCAAAAACCAUUCUGAACGUGUUAUUCAACUGUUUUUAUUCCAAAUAAUAAUAUUAUAAUUAUUAUAAUUUACCCACUCCAUCAAGGGUAAAUAUCUUCAUAACAGUUUAAAGAUAUUGGGUAUUCUUUUAAUUGGCUAAAUACUAGGUUAGUGGGCCAUCCACUUAAUUUUAAUGUGGAAAUAACAUUUGAUUUUUGACUCCAUUAGACUUUCUAUUAUUUUCACUAAAGAGAUGUCUCAUUUUUUACUUAUUCAAUUGUUUUAAAUUUUAAGGAAUAAAUUUAUAAGUUCAUAGCAGAGUUUUAGAUUCAAUUAAGCAUAAAAAUAAGUUAGGAUUGAAAAAUGCAUUAAUGAUAUAUAAGUUUUGAUUUAAUGCACUCAAAGAACAAAGUAUGACACUUAAGAUCGGUAAACAAUAUAUUCAAAGUGUUUUUUUAGCAUUAAAUGAAAUUUGAAGUACUUGUUUAUAAGAUGCAUUAGAAAACUAUUCCAUUAAAUACGUCCCUUGAUAAUAGAUUGAUAUAUCAACCAUUAACAGCAAGAAAUACAAUAACUAACCAUAGGAGGUUAAGGAACUCGAACCAAGUGAUCUAUGUGGCCCACUAGUGGCUAUUGCCAAAAAUAUAAAAUUAUCAAUUUUAAUAUAAAAAAAGAUUAUAGCAAUUAGGGAACGAAGUUUUUCAAUUAUUAAGAAUAUGUUUGAUUGUGAUUUUAGUAAACAUUUUUAAUAUUUAUAAUAUUUGAAUUUUUUUUUUACUCAAGUAUUAAAAAUAUUAUAAACAUUUUGUAUGAUCACUCUCAGCAAUUUAAAUUUACUAUAAAAUAUAAUAUAUAAAAAAUUAUUAAUAACAUUUGAUAAAUCUGUCUUCAUUAUGAGCCCAAGGAGCCAGAGGAUUUUUUUUUUUUAGAUGCCACACUUGGGUAGAAAAAUAGAUAUAGACUAUAGUAGGCUUGAUCUUUCACGACAAUGACGUGGCGCUUCCACACCUCAAAACCACUAUCUCCAAAUCCGAAACACAUGAAAAAAGGACAUACAAAACAUUUAUAAAUUUUAAAAAAAUAUUAUUAUUUUUUCAUAUCGUUUUCCAAAAUACAUUAAACAAUAAAUAAAAUACUAUACGCUCUUUCCUUUUAAGUUAAAAUGUUCUAAUCUUUUAGAAAAAUUUUCUAAAAGAAUUAUUAAAUAAAUUAGGUUAUUUUCAAUGAUAAAUUUUAUUUAAAAGCUCAAAUAUAAAAAAAGAAAUGUAUAUAUAUAUACAAAGAAAUAUAUAUUUCUAUAUUUCUCUCUCAAGAUUUUCAUUAUUUCUGGAACUUUCUCUCUCAUUUUUUCCAUUUUCCUUGUGGUUCGCCGACACCCGCCAAAUUUCUGCAAUUCAAAGCUCUCCGAUUUCUACAAUUCCAAUCUCGCCUCUUCGCACAGGUAAUAAUUGUGUAUGAAAUCAUGCUUUGAUAUUUCGUCAAUCUGUUAAUUGCUUUUUGUAAUUGAAUCAGUCUUUCUGGAAAAUGUGGAUCAUUAUCCUUAUUCAGGAUUCUUCACAUUUGCUUUCAUCAUAGCCUGUGUUCUCAGCAUUAGUUCCUGUUUGUUUUAAUGGAUAUAUGUUUUUUUGGAAGUUCUUUUUGUUUGCGUAUUUCCUUUUAUUUAUUGUUUGUUCGUAAUUUGAGUUUGCAUUGGAAGCGCUGCUUAGGGUUAAGAAUUUUUUUUUUUUGGAAAUUAUUUGAGAGUUCUUUUGUUGUUUGGUAAUGGUAAUUUUCUUAAGCCUUUUGUUUGGUUACCGAGAAAACGGAGAGGACAAGCGAAGGGAGUGAGUGAAGAAUUCAAUUAAGAUGUUAGGUUUUCUUUUUGUCCUCCGGUAUUGCAUUUUCUCAGCAACCAGACUGAUUGUAAGAGCAGUAAUGUUUUCUUCUCAUUAAUUAUUGCCAGUUUCGCAAUCUCUCUGGAGGAGUUGUUCGUACAAAGUGUUUGUUGGAAAAGGAUGUCCUUAUUGUUAACUUGGUUUAAGUGAUACAUGUUUGUUAAUUGUAUAGGUUUAAUUCAGCGAAAAGUUACAAGUGUUAAGUAAAGUUGGGAAAGUGGCUCUAAGACUCAGAAUAUGGAAAGUUUUUUUUGCAAACAGUCAUUAAAUUGAGAAAAACUUAAGGUUGGUGACCUAGAUAUACCCAACAGUUGCCUUUUUUUGUCAUCACUGUCCAUAAUCCAUAAGGGGAGAGAGAAUAAGAAGGAUGUUUUCUAUAGAAUCAGGGCAGGAUGGUAUCUGAAAAAAAGACUGGGAGAA
rnacentral:lncRNA from 1 species